CUAUAUAACAAAUGACCCUCUGCACAUUUUCAGCAUUCAUAUCCAUCUCUGAAAAUUCACAUCACUUGUUCAUAUGCAUACACUCUUACCCACAACUCUCUCACACACACACAAAAGAGCUCACUCACAGUCAAAAACAACUAAAAACCAUUUCUUGAAUUCAAAUUUGAGAUCUCAGAUCUAAAGUUCAAAAAUUCAAAACACAAACAAAGAAAAACAAAAGAAAAAAUAAGAUUCAGGAGGAUUUCGAAAGUGAAUUUAAUGUUGUUGAUUUAAUCCACUUUUUCUGGGUUCUAGAAGAUUAAUUACUCUGGAAAUGUUGUUUUGGCUGCUGACUCUGUUGCUGGUUCUCUGAUUUCGAGCGCUAAACUUCAUCCCUCAACUUUCUGAUCUAUAUUUGUUCUAUCCUCAUUGUUUUAGUGCUACUAGAUUGCUGAAGCAUGAUGAUUCUGGAAGCAGUAAUGAAUAGUUAAUUUUAGAAUUCGGACUAGUUUAACUCAUUGUAACAUUGUUUCACAUAGCAUAGGUCAUUAAAGUCGCUUUUAUUAUAAAUUCAACUUAGAAUCCCUGAUGUAAUAAAUUGUUGCUGUAAUUUUGAACUCAGAUAGCCAUAUGCUUGAUAUUUAAAAUAUUUUUUUUUUUUACUCUUGUGAUGACAUAUGAAAAUUGUACAGAACUAGCUAUUGGACA